rnacentral:rRNA from 1 species
AUACGUAGGUGACAAGCGUUAUCCGGAUUUACUGGGCGUAAAGGGCGUGUAGGCGGUCUUGCAAGUCAGAAGUGAAAUUCCUGAGCUCAACUCGGGCGUUGCUUCUGAAACUGCAGGACUUGAGUGCUGGAGGGGAUAGCGGAAUUCCUAGUGGAGCGGUAAAAUGCGCAGAUAUUAGGAAGAACACCGGUGGCGAAGGCGGCUAUCUGGACAGUAACUGACGCUGAGGCGCGAAAGCGUGGGGAGCAAACAGGAUUAGAUACCCUGGUAGUCCACGCCCUAAACGAUGAAUACUAGGUGUGGGGGGACUGACCCCCUCCGUGCCGGAGUAAACACAAUAAGUAUUCCGCCUGGGGAGUACGACCGCAAGGUUGAAACUCAAAUGAAUUGGCGGGG